rnacentral:lncRNA from 1 species
UCUUUCAGAUCUUAAUAGAACAUUUCCUCAGGGUGCCCUUCACUUACCUUCCGGACCAAGUCAGCCUCUCUUGUCAUAUGUGAUUCGUUGGAAAAAUUCAUUGUCUCUAGAGAUUGUCAGCUUGGUCCACAUCACCAGAAAUCUAACUCCCUGAAACCUCUUUCUAUGUCCCAGCUGAAGCAAUGGAAACAUUUUUCUGGAGAUCAUUUAAAUCUUACAGAUCCUUUUCUUGAAAGAAUAACAGAAAAUGUGUCAUUCAUUUUUCAGAAUAUAACCACUCAAGCUACUGGCACAUAGUGAAAGAUUACUUCUGACAUUCCAUUGCUCUUCUUUUGAAAAUUAGUAUGGUAAUUAAAUGUACUUUUUGAAAAUUAAUAGAAUUAUUUAAAUUACAGUAUAUGUUGCAAAAUAUAUCACUUUUGAUACAAUAGUCAAAAUUGAGUGGUUUAAUGUUUUGUAAAUAUUAAGUGUUUAAAUGAAAAAUAAAGAUGUGCUUAUAUCAUUGU